rnacentral:rRNA from 1 species
GAUGAACGCUGGCGGCGUGCUUAACACAUGCAAGUCGAACGGAAAGGCCCAAGCUUGCUUGGGUGCUCGAGUGGCGAACGGGUGAGUAACACGUGGGUGAUCUGCCCUGCACUUUGGGAUAAGCCUGGGAAACUGGGUCUAAUACCGGAUAGGACCAUCGUUUAGUGUCGGUGGUGGAAAGUUUUUCGGUGUGGGAUGGGCUCGCGGCCUAUCAGCUUGUUGGUGGGGUAAUGGCCUACCAAGGCGUCGACGGGUAGCCGGCCUGAGAGGGUGUACGGCCACAUUGGGACUGAGAUACGGCCCAGACUCCUACGGGAGGCAGCAGUGGGGAAUAUUGCACAAUGGGCGCAAGCCUGAUGCAGCGACGCCGCGUGGGGGAUGACGGCCUUCGGGUUGUAAACUCCUUUCGCCAAGGACGAAGCGUUUUGUGACGGUACUUGGAGAAGAAGCACCGGCUAACUACGUG